GGAAUUAUGGAAAUAAAUAAACUUUUCCAUGAUAUUAAAAUUUUUUGGAAAGGGUCUGCAUUAUGUUACAGUCUGCCAUGGUAGCAAAAUUUUUUGGAUGAUAUAUUUUACCAAAAACUAUCACAAUAAACGAUAGUAUGUUUGAACCCGGGUCCUCAGAACUGUGAGGCUGACGCUCUAACCCUGUCGGCCACCGUGCCGCCUAAAUCAGAUUCCAUACAGUAUAUUUUAAUAUCGCUAUUAUUUAUUAGCCUUUAUUUUUCUUUAUUGUAUGAAUGUUAUUGUGUUAUGUUGGAGAGGUUAGGAGACGAGAACAAAGAAAAGUCACGGCCCGGGUAUAACCUGCCGGCCGUACAGACCUCUAUUGCUCGGUUCUUUUAUUCUGGUCGAGGUAAAACUUCCAUGAUUAGGCCGGAGAUCAAAUAAAGCUUGUCGUCGAGCUGCUGGACUGUGAUGUGACACCUUCACCUGUCAAUCCAAUGACGCUGCAAAGGAGUCUAAAGACGUCAAUGGCCUUUUUUUACGGGGAUGGGUGGGGUAGGGUCUUGUGCAGUUUAUGUGUGAUCGUCAAGCCUCUGGAUAACUGCAAUGAGGAAUGCCACCCUGUCCUGUAGAGGGCAUCAAUGCCUUGAGGUGAACGUCCCUUCCUCAGAUUGAAGAAGAGGAAGAAGAAGUAGGAGGGGGCGGGCCGGCAGGGUGCAACAGACAAUGAGAAGAGACAAACAUAAUGGCAGAAAAGAAAGAAGACAAAAUGAAAGAAAUCUUUAAAAAAAAAAGCUUUCGGUACUAGAAAUGUAUUGCACCAAGGCAAGAAAAAUAUUCCUGCGACCGACAGGAAUGACGCCUUAGAUCAUGCGGGGAAUAAAGGAUGGCACUCUGAGCCCAAAGCGAUCACGCAAAAUGCCGGCCCAUACAUACGGUGAGAUGCUCUCGGCCGCUUGCUGGCUGAUCGUCUACCGACCAUGGAUUUGGAUAAAUGGGAUCCGAAAUCGUCAGAUGAGUGAACUCCCUUUUGGAUAGCCAGCUGAGCUUCCUCCGAUGAAGACCGACGAAGUCCGAUGAAGGUUAGUCGUUUGCAGCUCGUGUUAGCUACAUUUAGCAAACAAAAACACGCUCAUUCAAUCCUUGUUACAUAAAAACAUAAUUUAGUCCCACUAGUCCACAUUACAAUGUAACAUCUGUUGCCAGUACUGAUGUGAAUUUUCCAUUUCGUCCAUUUUGCAGGAAUUCAACACCCGCGAUUCGAACGUCUUUUACGAUUGCGAUGAAGAAAAGUUCUGCAUCCAACAGACGUUCGACUCCCAUUCCAGUACGCAGUGCAGACAAAAAAAGGUUGUUCUUCGAGCAGAAGUAAUGACUGGUUUCAAGGAGAAUGACAACCACACAAGAUCCCAUUCACUGCCAAGAGAAGAAUAAAAUCCAUAUGUGGAGGUGGC